AUUGAACGCUGGCGGCAUGCCUUACACAUGCAAGUCGAACGGCAGCACGGGAGCAAUCCUGGUGGCGAGUGGCGAACGGGUGAGUAAUAUAUCGGAACGUGCCCGGUCGUGGGGGAUAACGUAGCGAAAGCUACGCUAAUACCGCAUACGAUCUACGGAUGAAAGCGGGGGAUCGCAAGACCUCGCGCGAUUGGAGCGGCCGAUAUCAGAUUAGGUAGUUGGUGAGGUAAAGGGCUCACCAAGCCGACGAUCUGUAGCUGGUCUGAGAGGACGACCAGCCACACUGGGACUGAGACACGGCCCAGACUCCUACGGAGGCAGCAGUGGGGAAUUUUGGACAAUGGGCGCAAGCCUGAUCCAGCAAUGCCGCGUGCAGGAUG
rnacentral:rRNA from 1 species